rnacentral:tRNA from 1 species
GCCUGGGUGGCUCAGUGGGUUAAGCGUCUGACUUCGGCUCAGGUGAUGACGUCACGGUUUGUGGGUUCGAGCCCCGCGUCGGGCU